GCAAGCUCUAAGCGUCUUUCCUAAUGCAGUCCAUGAGCCAUAUGUAAACAUGUUUAUGCCGCACAAUUUUCUCUUAUAAGCCAACCAUGCAAGUGGAUGGAGGCAACAAGUUUAAACCAGAUGCAUAAAAGUAAAGACAUCCAGAACAUAACAUGAAAAUGACAAAUGCUUGAACAUUGUUGUUACCUCAAUGACAUUGACAGAACAAAGAGGACGGUCAUUUACCUGGUGGUGAAGGCCAAAAUCUA
rnacentral:misc_RNA from 1 species